AUAUGGCGGAAGCGUAUACCAGUUUGUCGAAAGAUGAUAAUACUAAGUUAUAUAGUUGUGGAACAGAAGUUAUAAAGUUUUUGUAUGAAUCUUUAUAGUUUUGUAGUUUGCUUCUAUGUAAUGCACUUAUUAUCAUUGUGCUGAUAACAUUGAUAAAUACUUUUAAAGUUUUAUUAGAGGGCAUAUCUUCGGAUGUGUAUCCUGAUAUUAUGAAAAAAGUUAUUUGUUAAUGGUGUUUAUCAAAGGUAAAAGAAGGUAGAAGUAUGAUGAGAUAUUUUAGUUAAUGCAUGCAUUAGUUUUAAUAUUUUGUUAUACUUUUAUUGGAUAAUAUUUUUGAUUAUCAGUAUAAAAGACAAUCACCUAUAUGUCCCGUCUUGAAACACGGACCAAGGAGUUUAUCGUAUGUGCGAGUCAUUGAGUGAUUAAAACUCAUAGGCGUAAUGAAAGUAAAGUUACCUUCUGGUAAUGAUAUGUGAUAGGUGAUCUUUGGAAAUCCUAGCAACAUAGUCCAAUCUAAUAAGCUUGCUUAUGGGUUGAGAUAGAGCAUAUGCGAUGAGACCCGAAAGAUGGUGAACUAUGCCUGAACAGGAUGAAGUCAGAGGAAACUCUGAUGGAAGUCCGAAGCGGUUCUGACGUGCAAAUCGAUCGUCUGAUUUGGGUAUAGGGGCGAAAGACUAAUCGAACCAUCUAGAGUGGGUUCCCCUUCCAAA
rnacentral:rRNA from 1 species